rnacentral:lncRNA from 1 species
UGGAUACUCCAAGAACUGAUAACAACGGUGGUGAAAAUUUUAUGCCGGCGAGUUCUUCUCGGUGGCCUAAAGCUGAAGUUCAAGCUUUGAUUGAUCUCCGAACAAGUCUUGAUCUAAAGUACCAAGAAAAUGGACCAAAAGGACCUCUGUGGGAGGAGAUUUCAGCUGCCAUGGGGAGGCUUGGAUACAAUCGAAAUGCAAAAAGAUGCAAAGAAAAAUGGGAGAACAUCAACAAGUACUUCAAGAAAGUUAAAGAAAGUAACAAGAACAGACCUGAGGAUUCAAAGACAUGCCCAUAUUUUCACCAACUCAAUGCUUUAUACAGAGAAAGAGCCAAGACUGAUUCUUCAUCCAAUCCUGGAUUCUUAAUGAAGCCUGAUCAAAAUCCAAUAAUGCCGAUUAUGGCUCGGCCUGAACAGCA